AAGCCACUUAAAAUGUUCGUUCAGCAAAAGAUUCAUUUUAAUAUAUGAAGAAAAGCUAAGCACGGUACCUGACAUGGUUGGAUGUAUUCCUUACCAACAUUGAUCUUACACAUCCUCGAGCCAAAGAACUGUUACAGAAGGGUGGGAUUUCUGUACCACGGUCCCUUAUCCCAGGUGCCUGUAGUGCGGUAGACAAAACAAUGGAAGAAACUUUCAUGAGAUUUGCUUAAUUUGCUGAAGAUCCUGAUUUGCCGAAGGCCGGACGACAUCGCGCAUUGGAACGUGCCGAAAUUCGAAAGUCGGAGAAGGCAGUUGUCAACACAAUGGCAGUAAUACGCAGUUUCUCUAAUCCGUUUAUAUCUACAGACAAGGAGCAUGUAUACAGAAUCUCUAGGUGUCAACUAUUGCGCAUCCCGACUAGGUCUUCACGUUUUCACUGGAGAAGAUGUGACGAGUGCAUUUAAGGGCAAGGGGAAGAUUAUACCACUUAGAAAGUUGCAAAGUUAUCCAAAAUAUCUCGAUACAUUCAGGACGUUUGGAGAUGCAUGUGAAGUGGAAGAAGAAGUAAUACAAAUGCUUGAAGCUUUUGUUUGUUUGAUAUAUGGAUUCCCAAGGGAGAAAUCUGUGAACACAUGCAGAGCACUUCUUCUAAACAAAUGGUUUGCGAAGAGGAAAUAUUGACUGUUAGGUCUGAAGUUGACCUGUCAAGGUCACCACCAUGCCAGGACAACCUAUGUAAGCAUAUCUUCAGGACAAAUUAUCGUCUUUCCAUAUUGAAGAAAGCGAACGACCCAAGGUUACCACCAUACCAGAACAACCUGUCAGCAUAUCUUCAGGACAAACUAUCGUCUUUCCAUAUUGAAGAAAGCGAACAACCCAACAAUUGAGCGUCCAGAACUAUUUGACGAUAAUCAAGGAUGGAUUAUAAAAGACAACUUGUUAGAGCCCUUAUGGGCAAAGGUUCCCAUACUUCCUUCAAGUUUAAUUGAGAUUCUGGGAAAUGUAAAAAAGAGUUGAAUGAGCAAGAAGAAGAUGAGGCAGAUUUUAACGUCCUUGAAGUGACAAUGUCACAUGAGGAUUAAUCCUUAUCUGACAAUGUCGUUUCCGGCACGAGAAAGUCAACAUCCCCCUCAUCUUACCCCCCCCCCCCUCCCCCCAAACACAUACACGCUCUACUGUGUGUGUUUUUUAAUGGCAUUGUUUGUUUGUGUUUAAACAAGUAUUUUUAAUUUUUAUUUAUUGGUUUCUUACCUUUGAAUUGAAAUAUUACAACAGUAUAUGUGUUUUGCUCUGUGCGAGAUAUUAUAGUGCAUUUACCUAUGUUAAUAAUUGAUUUUGUUUUUAUAAUUUACGAUAAAAAUACUAUUAACAGUAAAUGAGAUGUAUUUUAUUUGAUAAAACAUUAAAAAUGCACUUGUAAGUAUCAAAAACAAUCAUCAUAUGUAAAUAUCUAGUUAAAAUAGCUAGUAUAUCUAAAAAUAUAUCAACAUGGUAAUCAGCCAUAUUUUGUUCAUAUUUGUAAUUUACCCCACCACUAUUCUUGCAUUGUAUAUCACAAUUAUUGAUCAUAUCCACAUGAAAUGUUAUAUUAUUAUAUUUGUUAGUCCCAUAGGUGUGUAUAAAUGUGGUUA